CUACACUUCAAUAAUUAUUUUAUUGCAGUAAGGAAUCACUGAUGUUUAACGAAUACAAACCUUGGUUUUUAACUUGGUGGGAGGUAGCAUCAAAAGACGGUGAUGCUUUGGAAAGAGCAGCGUCACGGGGGAAAACUGAAAUAGCCAAACAACUACUAACUUCCGGUGCUGAUCCUAACAAGG